rnacentral:rRNA from 1 species
CUACGGGAGGCAGCAGUCGAGAAUCUUCGGCAAUGAGCGCAAGCUUGACCGAGCGACGCCGCGUGCGGGAUGAAGGCCUUCGGGUUGUAAACCGCUUUGGUCCGAGAGAAAGGGUAAAACUUGAUCGAUCGGAGAAACAAGGACGGGCUAAGUUCGUGCCAGCAGCCGCGGUAAGACGAACCGUCCAAACGUUAUUCGGAAUCACUGGGCUUAAAGGGCGCGUAGGCGGCCGAGCGGGUCGCGGGUGAAAUCCUCCAGCUUAACUGGAGAACUGCCCUCGAUACCACUGCGGCUCGAGGAAGGAAGGGGUCAUGGGAACUGUCGGUGGAGCGGUGAAAUGCGUUGAUAUCGACAGGAACGCCGGUGGCGAAAGCGCAUGACUGGUCCUUUUCUGACGCUGAGGCGCGAAAGCCAGGGGAGCAAACGGGAUUAGAUACCCGAGUAGUCC